rnacentral:ncRNA from 1 species
UGUCUCCUCCACCGCCUCCAUGGUGGAUUCAACCCGAGCUUGCAAGAGCUCGGGUUUUUUUUG